UGUGACUUAGUGUGCCCCUCAUGUCACAGA
rnacentral:piRNA from 1 species